GGGGGUAUAGCUCAGCUGGCUAGAGCGUUUGACUGGCAGUCAAGAGGCCGGGGGUUCGAAUCCCCCUAUCUCCACAA
rnacentral:tRNA from 1 species